rfam:TPA: Bos taurus chromosome 17, whole genome shotgun sequence.
UCCCAGCUGUCUCAGUGAUAAAGAAUCUGCCUGCCAAGCAGAAGACAUGGGUUUGACCCCUGGGUCAGGAA